UGAAUCAAAUUUGAUAUCAGGACGAGAUGCUGUUGAGGGAGCCCAAGCACUGGUGGCUUUAGGACCACCCGCUGUUCCAUCUGGUAUGGCUUCAAUCCUGGCCGGAAGCGCAAGCACCAAAUCAUUUCUAGCAGCAAGCUCUUCCGUUGAUAAUGUCUUUACUAGUAAGCUAACUCUAAAAAUGAACAAGUUGACAAAAAAGUUGAUGAGAUCAAAUACAUGUGAAGUUAUGAGAUCAAAUACAUUUGGUAGUGUGUACUGACAAAAAGUUACUAGAUCAAACUAAUCAUAAUCUAUACGUAAAUGCGAUCAGAUAAUCAUAUAUUCAUUUACAUUUUGUCACGCAACGAAAGUAUGAUUAAGAAUCAAUAAAUGUUUUCUAACUAAAUUACUAAAGUCUGUUGAAGUGAACUUGAAGUAGCUUAGGAAACAAGCUACCACUUUCUUAUGAGAUUAGGAAAGUAAUAAGUUAGAGUUAUCUAUAAGAGUAGUUUCCUAAUGAGUUUAGGAACUUGAGUUUAUAUAUAAAGGAUAUGCAAGAGUGUUGCAUAACUUGUGAGAGUUGAGAGCUUUAGUUUUUGAGUUAUUUUUCUAAAGCAUUGAGUGUUAUAAUAAAGAGUUUGAGUUUGAGAUUAAGUGUUUGAUUCAAUAAUUGGUAUCAGAGCUUCUAUUGAGUCAAAUUCUUUUCGGCGACAAUGGGAGAAAUCGUUGCCACCACCAAAACAAAGAUUGGUUCAUCAUCGAUCCAAUGUCCAAUGCUUACCGAUACAAAUUACACAGUUUGGACAAUGCGAAUGAAAGUGGCGCUUAAGGUUCAUAAGGUCUGGGAGACCAUCGAGCCAGGAGAGGAGGAAGGAGAAAAGAGUGAUAUAGCGAGAGCCCUUCUUUUCCAGUCUAUACCAGAGUCAUUGAUACUACAAGUGGGAAACUUAGAGACAGCAAAAUCUGUAUGGAACGCAAUAAACACUAGACAUAUGGGAGCUGAUCGAGUGAAGGAAGCACGGCUGCAAACCCUAAUGAAUGACUUUAAUAGGUUGAAGAUGAAGGAAACUGAGUCCAUUGAUAAUUUUGUGGGGAAGCUCUCGGAGAUAUCAACCAAGUCAGCCUCUCUUGGAGAAGAAAUCGAAGAACCAAAACUUGUUAAGAAGUUUCUGAGCAGUCUACCUCGAAAGAAGUACAUACACAUUAUCGCAGCACUUGAGCAAGUGCUUGACCUAAACAAAACAAACUUCGAAGACAUUGUGGGGAGGUUAAAAGCCUAUGAAGAGAGAAUACAAGACGAAGAAGAAGAGAAACAAGACGAGCAAGGUCAAGAUAAACUUAUGUACACUGACUCACAGCCACAACAAGAGAGAUAUGAGCCAUGGAGAGGUAGAGGAAGAGGUGGCAGAUAUGGAAAUCGUGGCAGAGGCCGGGGACGUUAUGGAUAUCAACAGAAUGGAUAUCAACAAAACGGAUAUCAGCAGAAUGGGUAUUAUCGACAAGAGAGAGAUGCGUCUAAAGUAGAAUGUUUCCGGUGUGAUAAGAUAGGGCAUUUCGCUCAAAACUGCCCUGAUCGUCUCUUAAAGCUUCAAGAGACACAAGAGACAGAGGAUAAAACUCAAGAAGCAGAGGAACUAAUGAUGCAAGAGGUGGUGCUUCUCAAUGAACGCAACUGCAUGCCAAGCAUGUUUGAGACAAACUCAACAGUUGAAAAUCUAUGGUACUUGGAUAAUGGGGCUAGCAACCACAUGACAGGAAACCUCGCCUACUUCUCUAAUCUCGACCAGAGAGUAACAGGUAAGGUAAAGUUUGGAGAUGAUUCAAAAAUCGACAUAAAAGGUAAAGGAUCGAUACUGUUUUCUACAAAGAAUGGUGAGAGAAAGAUUCUAUCAGACGUCUACUAUAUACCUGAUCUAAAGAGCAAUAUCAUUAGUUUGGGUCAAGCCACUGAGUCGGGAUGCGAAGUCAGAAUGAAAGAAGAAGAGUUGCUUCUAUUUGAUCGAGACAAAAGGCUAUUGAUCAAAGCAAAGAGGUCAAGAAACCGGUUAUAUAAGGUAAUUAUGGAAGUUGAGAACGCUAAGUGCUUACAACUGAUGCAUCUCAGGGAGUCAACAAAGUGGCACGCACGUUUAGGGCACACAGGUCUGAACAACCUAAAGACAAUGAUAUCCAAAGGCCUCGUCGUUGGAAUUCCACAGCUCAAAAUCGAGAAGGAAACGUGCGUAUCUUGCUUAAAGGGCAAGCAAGUUCGAAACUCAUACCCGCAAGCAAGUUCUUAUCGAGCAGCUAAGGUAUUGGAGCUCAUCCAUGGGGAUUUAUGUGGCCCUAUAACACCAGCCACAGCGGGAGGCAGUAGAUAUGUGUUCGUAUUGAUUGAUGAUCAUUCUAGGUAUAUGUGGACCGUCUUAAUGAGAGAAAAAAGUGAAGCAUUCACCAAGUUUAAGAGAUUCAAAACUAUUGUGGAACAAGAAGCUGGUACAACAAUCAAAACGUUCAGAACUGAUAGAGGAGGAGAAUUUACAUCUCAAGAGUUCAAUGACUUCUGCGUAGAAUCAGGGAUCAAACGCCACUUAACCGCACCAUAUUCUCCACAGCAGAAUGGAGUGGUCGAGAGGAGAAACAGAACGUUGCUUGAGAUGACGCGUAGUAUUUUAAAACAUAUGAACGUUCCAAACUGGCUUUGGGGAGAAGCAGUCCGACACGCAACAUAUCUAAUCUGGGUGUCAACGAGAACGCUGGAAGGACUUGUUCCAUAUGAAGGUUACAAGGGAAAGAAGCCAAACAUUGGUCAUCUGAGAGUCUUCGGUUGUGUUGGUUACGUAAAGAUACAUAAGGCUCAUCUCAAGAAGCUAGACGAUCGAUCAAAAGCCCUAGUUCACCUAGGGACCGAACCAGGUUCCAAAGCAUAUAGGUUGCUCGAUCCAACAAGUCGCAAAGUGGUCGUAAGCCGUGAUGUGGUAUUUGAUGAGGAGCAAGGUUGGAAGUGGAGUGAAAUAGAGAAAACAGGGGAUAGAGAGUAUGAAACUAUAGACUUCGGAUUUAAGUUACUUGGAGAUCAAGUAAAACAGAGUGAUGAAGAUGAGGAUCACGAAGCUAUUAGCGAAGCAGGAAACGAAGUAGAAUCUGAGCAAGCAACUCCACCUCCACUGAGACGCUCCACCCGGGUAAGCCACUUACCAAAAUACUUAGAAGAUUAUGAACUAAUGUGUGAAGAAGAUGGGUAUGAGAAUCUUUGCGAGAUUGAAUGUGAGCAUAUGUUGCUUCUUGUCAAUGACGAGCCAUGGAGUUAUGAAGAAGCACGAGAACUAAAAGUUUGGAGAGACGCUUGCGACGACGAGAUCAAGUCAAUAGUCAAAAACAACACUUGGACACUAGUUGAGCUACCUCCAACGUGCAAAGCAAUUGGUUUAAAAUGGGUUUUCAAGAUAAAGAAAAACUCUGAUGGAAGUAUAAACAAGUUUAAAGCAAGACUUGUAGCUAAGGGAUACAUACAAAAACAUGGCAUAGAUUUUGAUGAGGUCUUUGCCCCGAUUGCUAGAAUAGAGACGGUACGUUUGAUAAUAGGAAUGGCUGCAUCACACGGCUGGGAACUGCAUCACUUGGAUGUAAAAACGGCUUUUCUCCACGGAGAAUUGAAAGAAGAGGUAUAUGUCUCACAACCUGAAGGAUAUGAGAUCAAAGGUAGUGAAACAAAGGUGUAUCGUUUAAAGAAGGCGUUGUACGGCUUAAGACAAGCACCAAGAGCUUGGAACGAGAAGCUCAACUCUGUUCUACAAGGUCUGAAGUUUGAAAGAUGUUUAAAAGAACCAUCACUCUACCGUAAGAAGAAGCAAGGUGAUAUCUUGAUAGUAGCUGUGUACGUCGAUGAUUUACUCAUCACAGGCUCAAGUAUGGAAUUAAUACACGAGUUUAAGAGUGAUAUGGCAACAAGGUUCGAAAUGAGUGAUCUCGGGCGAUUAAGUUACUACCUUGGUAUAGAGGUUAGACAACAAAAGGGAAGCAUCGUACUCAAUCAGGAGAGAUACGCCACUAAGAUACUCGAAGAAGCUGGUUUGAAGGGGUGUAAUGCGGUACACAUACCAAUGGAUGCAGGGUUGAAAAUAAGCAAGGCAGAAGAGGAGCGUGGCAUAGAUGAAAGAGACUAUAGAAGAAACAUUGGUUGUCUCAGGUAUCUGAUACAUACACGGCCUGAUCUUGCUUAUAGUGUUGGUGUGCUGAGCCGCUAUAUGCACGCACCAAAGGAGUCACACAAGGCCGCGCUCAAGCAAGUAUUGAGAUAUCUUAGCGGAACGCGGAGCUAUGGUCUUGAGUUCAAAGUGGGAUCGAAGGAAGGACUUAUAGGCUAUAGUGAUAGCAGUUACAAUGUUGAUCCAGAUGAUGGUAAGAGCACAACUGGUCACAUAUUCUAUCUUGGUGGCAAUCCUAUUACCUGGUGCUCUCAGAAGCAAGAGAUCGUAGCUUUAUCUUCCUGUGAAGCAGAGUAUAUGGCCGGAACAGAGACAGCUAAGCAAGCCGUGUGGUUACAGGAGCUGCUUGAAGAGAUUUACGGACAAGCAAGUGAUAAAGUGGUGAUCCGUAUAGACAACAAGUCUGCAAUUGCGUUAGCCAAAAAUCCGGUGUUCCAUGGUCGCAGUAAACACAUUCACACAAGGUUCCACUUCAUAAGAGAGUGUGUUGAAAGGAGUUUAGUAAGCGUGGAACAUAUAGCUGGUGUGAAACAGAAAGCCGACAUCCUAACCAAAGCGCUUGGGAGGAUUAAGUUUAAAGAGAUGAGAGAUCUAAUUGGAAUUCAAGAUGUAUCAAAUGGAGACUUCAAGAUCAAGGGGGUGAAUGUUGAAGUGAACUUGAAGUAGCUUAGGAAACAAGCUACCACUUUCUUAUGAGAUUAGGAAAGUAAUAAGUUAGAGUUAUCUAUAAGAGUAGUUUCCUAAUGAGUUUAGGAACUUGAGUUUAUAUAUAAAGGAUAUGCAAGAGUGUUGCAUAACUUGUGAGAGUUGAGAGCUUUAGUUUUUGAGUUAUUUUUCUAAAGCAUUGAGUGUUAUAAUAAAGAGUUUGAGUUUGAGAUUAAGUGUUUGAUUCAAUAAAGUCUUCAUACAUUCAACGUAGCAUCUAUAUUAUUAACAAAAGAGUAAUAAUAGAAACAAAACAAAAAAAAACUCGAUCUUGGUAACAUAAAAACACCAUGGAAAGGUGUUCAAAGUAGGUUCAUGGGUGGAGUUUCUUGGCCAACGGACCCCAUCAUCAUCUCCUUUACCCACUUUUCUCCCCCAAUUUAUAUUCUCUCUCUCUCUGCUUUUCCUUUUAAUCACCGAUCCACCCAUCAAAACACAAACUUUCUUCGAUUCGAUCCAUAAAAAUCUCACCUUUUCUGAUCAUUCUCCUCAUGGGCAACAUCAGCAGCAGCGGAGGAGGCGGCGACGGUAGACGCCGCAGACAACAACGGCGGAGCAACACCCUUCCUUCUCCUUCUCCACCACCGCCACCACCUCCUUCUCUUCCUCCACCGCCACCACCCAAUCGCAUCGUCUUCGCCGCCGCUACACCGUACCCAAACCCUAACUACCAGUAUCCAGGCUACUACCCUCCUCCUCCUCCGGGGCCUUACGACCAGCACCAUCACAUCCACUAUCCUCCUCCUCCGCAGCAGCAUCCUUAUCACCACCCUUACGGAAGAUACCCUUACAAUGGACCCAUGAUGCCUCCGCAGCUUCCCUGCGUCGAGCAUCAGAAAGCCGUCACCAUUCGUAACGACGUUAAUCUAAAAAAGGAGUCUUUAAAGCUCGAACCCGACCCGGAUAACCCGACCCGGGUCCUCGUCUCCUUCACGUUUGAUGCAACUGUACCCGGAAGGUAAUAAAAAGUUAAAAACCCAACCUUUAUCUAUAUUAAAAGAAAAAUCUGAACCUUUAGAUUGGUGUUGUCUUAAAAACAGAAUCACAGUCAUAUUCUUCGCUAAAGAAACCGAACAAUGCGUCAUCACAGCGACAAAGGAAGACACUUUACCACCGAUCACAAUGGACUUCGAGAAAGGGCUUGGUCAGAAGUUCAAACAGCCUCCCGGGUCCGGUAUAGAUUUGUCGUUAUUCGAAGACGCCGAGCUGUUUAAGGCGGCAGCGUUAGAGACUGAUGUGUAUCCGUUGGCGGUUAAGGCGGAAGCAGUUAGUUCAGGUGAAGAGAGUUUGUCUAAGAACGCGCAGAUAACUCAAGCGGUUUACGAGAAGGAGAAAGGAGAGGUUAAGAUAAGAGUGGUGAAGCAGAUACUGUGGGUUAACGGGACUAGGUAUGAGUUGCAGGAGAUUUAUGGGAUUGGGAAUACGGUUGGUGGGGACGAUGAUGGGGAUGAUGAUGGGGAGGAUCAGGGGAAAGAGUGUGUUAUUUGUUUGUCAGAGCCGUCGGACACGACUGUUCUUCCUUGUCGACAUAUGGUAAGUAAGAUUCAAUGUUUUUGAUGAACUGUGUUUCUCUUGUGGACUGAGGUGGAAAGGUGUUUUGUGGUGUAGUGUAUGUGCAGUGGAUGUGCUAAGGUGUUGAGGUUUCAGACGAAUCGAUGCCCGAUUUGUAGGCAGCCUGUUGAGAGGCUUUUGGAGAUACAAGUUCAUGGUAAUAGUGGGAGUGGGAAUGAUGCUGAGCAUGGAAGAGGAACAGCUGAACAAGAGUAGCUAAACACGGGUGGAGCGUGGAUAGAAUGGACACAUCUAUAUGCAUGUUUGAUCCAUGUGUAACAUGUUAAACAAUAAAAUGUCCUGAUUGCCAAUUUAUAAUAUAGAAAUUUUCAAAGUCAUUUCAAUUCACAAUCACGAUUCUUCGAUAUUAGAAUUGGAUUAUGUUGAUGCAGUUUGGUUAUUUAUUCUGAGAACAGACCAAACAAUAAGCUUUGACCAGACAUUGACAAGGGCAUGAGUGAAUAUAAUUACAUAAAUUUGGUAAACUUAAUAAGAUAUGUAUUCACCAUGUAUGGACAUAAACAACAUAACAGAAGGAUAAUAAGAAACAACUUCAAUAGUCUUGACACUCGGAAGAAACUCUCGUCGAAUCACACAAAUACAGAAAGAAACAAGCACUCACACACACACUGACUCAGGGUAAGAGACGGUAACAGCAGUGGGCAAAGAGAGAGUACUGAUGGGUCCUUUCUUGUUCAUCUCAUUACUUCAGUACACUGCAGAGAACAAAGGUUUGUUCUGUUAAAGAAACUCUUUUUUUUUCACUCUAUCUAAUGCAUCCUUUUUGUAUGUAGAAGAAACUUACUUGUAUAAGUAUGCAGCGAUACCAAGAACAAUACACAACAAAACAAUAUCGAUGCAAAAGUUCCGGCUUGACCUCAGCUGCAGUAACAAAAGCCAUGCUUUUUAGUGUUAUGAAUCAUCAACAACAGGCCAAUAUGGCAAGUUUCAAGGCUCAAAGAUCACCUGGUUCACAGUAUCUUUAAGUCUAACAUUGGUGUUUUUAAGAUCCGAGGUUGCUCUGUCCACCUGUGAGCGAGCUCAGUAAGUUACUCAGAUUAUACAACUAAUGGUUUAAGAGAAAAGGAAAGGAAACUGGGGUGUGUUCUACCUUGGAGUCGAUUUCAUCCAUCAGAGGAACUUGCCUAUCCAGCUCCUGCAUGUAUAGAGUGUUCGUGACAUGGAUCAUCAUCUCAAGUGCUGAAUAAGUGAAGUGAGUUUAACAAACGCACCUCGUUCAUAUCAGACGCCAUAUUCUUCAAAGCAUCUAAACCUUCCGAGAUCAUGUCCAGACCUUGUUCCUGCUUGAUUUUCCGCAUCUCAUACUCCUGUCUGAAUUGGCUGGACUCAUGUGAUUCUUGAAAGUAAUCAUCAUCAAAACGCCCAUCUAAUAUCCACAAUAGAGGUGAGUUAGUGCAAGCACUAUACAAUAAGGAACAAACUAGUUUGUGGUUGAAUCACCUGAAUCAAAUUUGAUAUCAGGACGAGAUGCUGUUGAGGGAGCCCAAGCACUGGUGGCUUUAGGACCACCCGCUGUGCCAUCAGGUAUGGCUUCAAUCCUGGCCGGAAGCGCAAGCACCAAAUCGUUUCUAGCAGCAAGCUCUUCGGUUGUAAGGCCUUUAACCUAAAGAUUACCACCACAUGUUUAAUUCUCCAGCCAAUGGACAACCAUCUGAAUGUGAUUAAUUUACCAUAAAACAUACUUUGUUUAACAAGCUUUAAUGAAAAACAAUCACACAUUAACGAUAUCAUCCUAAAAAUAAGAAUCAUAUAAGUUCAACCAAGCUACGUAGAAUCAAUGUAUGAGAAAGGAC
rnacentral:lncRNA from 1 species